GACGAACGCUGGCGGCGUGCUUAACACAUGCAAGUCGAACGGAAAGGCCCUGCUUUUGUGGGGUGCUCGAGUGGCGAACGGGUGAGUAACACGUGAGUAACCUGCCCUUGACUUUGGGAUAACUUCAGGAAACUGGGGCUAAUACCGGAUAGGAGCUCCUGCUGCAUGGUGGGGGUUGGAACGUUUCGGCGGUUGGGGAUGGACUCGCGGCUUAUCAGCUUGUUGGUGGGGUAGUGGCUUACCAAGGCUUUGACGGGUAGCCGGCAUGAGAGGGUGACCGGCCACAUUGGGACUGAGAUACGGACCAGACUCCUACGGGAGGCAGCAGUGGGGAAUAUUGCACAAUGGGCGGAAGCCUGAUGCAGCAACGCCGCGUGCGGGAUGACGGCCUUCGGGUUGUAAACCGCUUUCGCCUGUGACGAAGCGUGAGUGACGGUAAUGGGUAAAGAAGCACCGGCUAACUACGUG
rnacentral:rRNA from 1 species